UACAUGUGGGGCAAGCGUUGUUCGGAAUUACUGGGCGUAAAGCGCGCGCAGGCGGUUCUUUAAGUCAGGAGUGAAAGCCCAGAGCUCAACUCUGGAAUUGCCUUUGAAACUAGAGAACUUGGGUACGGGAGAGGUGAGUGGAAUUCCGAGUGUAGAGGUGAAAUUCGUAGAUAUUCGGAAGAACACCAGUGGCGAAGGCGGCUCACUGGCCCGGUACUGACGCUGAGGUGCGAAAGCGUGGGGAGCAAACAGG
rnacentral:rRNA from 1 species